UAGGGAAUCUUCCGCAAUGGACGAAAGUCUGACGGAGCAACGCCGCGUGAGUGAAGAAGGAUUUCGGUUCGUAAAACUCUGUUGUUAGGGAAGAAAAAAUGUAUAGUAACUAUAUACAAAAGAGACGGUACCUAACCAGAAAGCCACGGCUAACUACGUGCCAGCAGCCGCGGUAAUACGUAGGUGGCAAGCGUUGUCCGGAAUUAUUGGGCGUAAAGCGCGCGCAGGUGGUUUAGAAAGUCUGAUGUGAAAGCCCACGGCUCAACCGUGGAGGGUCAUUGGAAACUAAUAAACUUGGGUGCAGGAGAGAAAAGUGGAAUUCCUAGUGUAGCGGUGAAAUGCGUAGAGAUUAGGAGGAACACCGGUGGCGAAAGCGGCUUUUGGGCCUGCAACUGACACUGAGGCGCGAAAGCGUGGGGAGCAAACAGG
rnacentral:rRNA from 1 species